UCAAAUACAUUCCUGCUCGAAUUCAAGGAAAGACUGAUACAGACCAAGUCGUAUCAGUCGCAUGUCACGCUGGAGAGCGACAUAGAUGAGGAAGAGCCAGAUGAGAUGAUGACCACGCUCGGUAGAGUAGCCUAUUCAUUCGUUUAUUCUGCGCGCUCGAUUGGUCCAGAAUACUCUACUGUACGGUGAGGGAGUGAAUGCCGAUUUGAGAGAUAUUUUUUGAGAAGCUCAUCGGAAACUAUCUUCCUCCAUUUUUUUAAUAAGACCGUCGUAAAUUGUACAAUUAUUGAAAUAGUUAGAACCUUAGAAUUACGCCCGCGUGAUUGUCUGGUGACAGACAAGUCACUCCAUCAAGGAGGUGCUGUAACGGUUGUCCCUGAAAGAGAUUCCCUAAAAACGGUUUUUAGCUGGACAAUUCUAACCGAACGAGGUUGGCUCAAGGAGGAGGACACACAAUAGCGCGCCGCGAAAUUAACCGCGUGGCUAACAAAAGAAAACAGCCUUGGUUUUUGACACUUUCGCGGUUUACAGAAAUUCAAGUAUUCAGCAAGACCCCUUUGUCAAUCCAUGAGAAAAUAGUGGAUUCGCUUUUUAGGUGUGCAUGUGAAGCUGGCUGCUGUGGAACUGAGUAAGGAAUACACCACGGAAGAUGAGGAAAAGCAGAAGUGUGCUGACAGUGUCUCCCAAUGAUGACAAUAAAAAGCCCACAGACUGUGUUUUCAGUGAGUAUUCCUGCACGCUGGGCGUCGACCUACGCCGGGGAUGCAGGCGUUUCUCCGGGAACCUGCAGCUGCCCCCGUUGUCGUGGCGACAGGCCGAGAGGUCGCGAACCCCUGACAAUGACUGGGUGGUCCGGCCCACCUCCCUCCCCUUCUGCAUCCCACCCCGCAUCGACAUUACGCCGGUUGACCC